CUUGAUGUUCAAAUUAGUCUUUGUCUAUACAGUGUUAACAUUGGUUUUCAUUUAGUAAAGAGUUUCGAAGAAAAAAAUGUUUUGGAUACUUAAAUAAUAUGUAAUUGCCAGGAAUGGUUCCUUCAUAUGUUAAUUGUCAUCUUAAUGAAAUAAUGAGAUAUAUCAAGUGGUAGUUCAUCACAUAUUGGUCUCUAUAUUGCAAAGUGCUAAUUAGUUUACUGUAAAAAAAUUAUUUGUGCAAAGACAGUACCAUUCAUUAUACCAGAACCUUGACUUAUUAGUGGUAACUGUAUUUAUAAAAUAGUUUAUUUUUAGCUCAUGAUUUUAAUUGAGAAUAUUUAGUUCAGUAAAUUUUUAAAAAAUUAACAAAUAACUUUUAUAUUUAAAUUUGCAUUUAUAAAGAGAUGAAGGAGAAGAGUAGGGUUUGCAUUAUUAUGUGCAAUACAUGAAGAAAUGAAAGUAGCUUCUCAGGAAAUAAAGGCAAAUCAUGAACUUCAUAUUGCAUCGUUCAUCAUUUACAUAGCCUGACAAUCUAAACUAGGAACUUUUUGAUCAGGUAACCAUCUAUAACACAACACUUACUUAAGUAAGCAGUCUAUGAUAUUUAUUGAUCACAUCUACAUUUGAACAGUAUAAUUACUGUUCUUAAAUUGCAAGUAGGAGACAUUAGUUCUGAGUAUUUAAACAAAAAGAGCAAUUUCCAGAAAGAAUAUAGUUUUGCUUAGAGAAUCAGAAGGUAAUCAGAUGAAAUUAUUCUCAGAAAAGAUAGGAGUCAGACCGUUCCAAAGAUCUACUCAUAAAUAAAUCUACUCCUAUAUAUAGAGAGAUUCAUGGGUACUUCUGGAGCUAACUCUGGACCAGUAAUGCAUUUAAUGUUGCCCUCUUUCUCUGCACCCCAUUCACGAAAAAGAGUGCUUUUGGCCGAGCCUCAGUCAUUGUCCUCUCCUAGGAACCUUGGUACUUGAUGCACAGUUCUUCCAAAUUGCCUGAACUCAGAGAGGGUAAGUCCCAGAAGGAACUUCAGAGCUCUGAGACUAGGAUCAGGAGUGGGUGUGGCAUAAAUAAAAACAUUAGAUAUUGCAAAACUCCCUUCUCAGAAGAGGCGUUCAAGAGCCAUCAAAUCACAAUGGCAAUAAUAUCUCCAAAAAUAAAGCUUUUGCCAGUAAAAGGAAUGUAGAUAAUGAUAAUGUUGCUCAGAUCUCAGUAAGUAUCUAUUAUCAUGAGAAAUUUACUUUUUCUUUCUUUGGUAAAUAUAUCUUUUGAGUGUGUGUGUGUGUGUGUGUGUAUGAUGUUCCAGUUUUCACACCAGGCAGUGAGCAUAAAAAUGUAAACAACAGAAUUACUCUUUGCUAUUUAUGGACCCUGUAUUCUAUUGAGAACUGAAAAUAAAGCCAUUGUAUAUCGCAUUAAUUAUAAGAUGGGUGGUAUAUUUGUUUCCCAGGGCUACUAUUAGAAAGAAC
rnacentral:lncRNA from 1 species